rnacentral:lncRNA from 1 species
CCGGAACUCUCUGUUGUAUAACUGUUCAUAAUAGACACAAUACGUCUGACUCACAUCUCUCAAUGACUGUAGUUUGAGUUCAAAGUGUUGAAACCAAAUUCACAAGUUGAGCUCAUUAUAACUUGCUUACAGGAUUCAGGAGGUGAGUCUGAAUCAGACGGAGAGAAAAACAAGAAGCACGAUGGAAAGCUCACAGAAGACGCUGGCACUGCCACUUCAUCUUCAUCUGCACUUCCUGUGGAGUCUGCGGGUUUGACCGCUGCCAGGGACGACGGUCACGUGUCUGAUGACGAGGGCGAAGGAGGCCACGACAAACAGAAAGACAAAAAGAAGAAAGUAAAGAAAAAGAAGAAGAAGGCAUGCAGCUCGUCCUCUUCAUCGGACAGUGAGGAUGAGAAGAAGAAGAAGAAGAAGAAGAAGAAAGAUGAAGACUCCAGCUCUUCUUCUUCAUCCGACAGCAGCUCCUCAUCCUCCUCAGACUCAGACAGCGACGAUGACAAGAAGAAGAAGAAGAAGAAGAAGAAGAAGAAGAAGAAGAAGAAGAAGAAGAAGAAGGAUUCAUCUUCAUCAUCAAAUAGCUCUUCAUCAUCAUACAAGAAGAAGAAGAAGAAGAAGAAGAAGAAGAAGAAGAAGAAGAAGAAGAAGAAGAAGGUAAUGAUAGAAAUGAGCUACCUGGCCUGAAACCUAAAUGAAUGUGUUUGUGGAUUCAUUCUUGUCUGUGAUUAUUAAGAUGUCAUUUGCUAAGAAAAUGAAUGUAAAUGCAGAUUAAUCUCUCAAUCCUCAGGAUUCAUCAUCAUCAUCAUCUUCAUCUGACAGUGACCAUGACAAGAAGAAGAAGAAGAAGAAAAAGAAAAAGAAGAAAAAGAAGAAGAAGAAGAAGAAGAAAGUGAAGGUCAGAUUCAUUUACGUACACUGAAAAAAAAAUUGAUGUAGAAACAUUUUUCACAAAUUGCUGGUAGAUGUCACAAAGCAAUUUCAUAACAUAUAAAAUUUUGAAUUAAAAACUAAUAGUAUUUUCUUGUAAAACAUAUUCCAAU